UGCCACUGCACUCCACUCCGGGCAACAGAGUGAGACUCCAUCUCAAAUAAUAAUAAUAAUAAUAAUAAUAAUAAUAAUAAUAAAGCCCAGAUUCAUUUUUACAGAGAAGGUGAAAAGGAUGAACCUGGGGCUAAGAGACCAUGAUCCACUAACCAGCAUAUUCUACAGGCUCAGGAAGUCCAGGCAUCAUCCAGUUUCCCCUCCCAAACUCUUCCAGCACAUUCCAGAUGAAUACUAACAUUGCUACACGUCUCUCCUUGCUGGCACGUGUCCCUCAGCCGGCAGUUUUGUUCCUGUCCAUGACUCCCUUGGCUGCAAUUGUCUCUAUGCAUUCCUACCCCAAGGGCUUCGCCUCACCUGGAGGCACAGGGUGCCUCCUCUCCUAGUUUUCACAGGUAAGACCAAGAGGUGAGAGUCAACAAAACUUGACAGAAGGCUAAGGAACCAGAAGGGAAUUACAGAAGAAUCUACCCCCAAAGACAAAUUCAAAUUUCUACCCCUUGCAAAGACAAAAAGAGCAGCAUGUUUUAAAAGGCAGCCCCACUUUCCUCAACAUCCACUCACUUGAUAACCACCAAGGCUUCAAAACUACUCAGCUACAGUAUCCUAUUAUGUCCUAAAAAAUUUAAUAAUAAUAGGCUGGACGCGGUGGCUCAUGCCUGUAAUCCC
rnacentral:lncRNA from 1 species